rnacentral:rRNA from 1 species
UACGGGGGGAGCAAGCGUUGUUCGGAUUUACUGGGCGUAAAGGGCGCGUAGGCGGCCUGUGCAAGUCAGUUGUGAAAUCUCCGAGCUUAACUCGGAAAGGUCAACUGAUACUGCUCGGCUAGAGUGCGGAAGGGGCUACUGGAAUUCUCGGUGUAGCGGUGAAAUGCGUAGAUAUCGAGAGGAACACCUGCGGCGAAGGCGGGUAGCUGGGCCGACACUGACGCUGAGGCGCGAAAGCCAGGGGAGCGAACGGG